GAUGAACGCUGGCGGCGUGCCUAAUACAUGCAAGUCGAACGAAGAUCCAGCUUGCUAGAUCUUAGUGGCGAACGGGUGAGUAAUACAUAAAUAAUCUGCCCAUAUGACUGGGAUAACUAUUGGAAACGAUAGCUAAUACCGGAUAGGUUGAUCGGAGGCAUCUCUGAUGAAUUAAAGUAGGAUUUCUACACAAAUGGAUGAGUUUAUGGCGCAUUAGUUAGUUGGUGGGGUAACGGCCUACCAAGACGAUGAUGCGGAGCCGACCUGAGAGGGUGACCGGCCACACUGGGACUGAGACACGGCCCAGACUCCUACGGGAGGCAGCAGUAGGGAAUUUUCGGCAAUGGGCGCAAGCCUGACCGAGCAACGCCGCGUGAGUGAUUAAGGCCUUCGGGUUGUAAAGCUCUGUUGUAAGGGAAGAACAUUCAGGAUAGGAAAUGAUCUUGAACUGACGGUACCUUACCAGAAAGCCACGGCUAACUACGUGCCAGCCGCCGCGGUAA
rnacentral:rRNA from 1 species